rnacentral:lncRNA from 1 species
AACUGACAGUCACCCCCCCCCCGUCAUGGAUCACUGACUUCUUCUAUGAACUGUGUGUGAAUCAGUAAAAAGGUUCACAAUAUGGACCAGCUCAACGCAGCUUUUCAAAGUAAUUUUUAACACAUGUACGGAUACAAAACCUUUCAUACAACACUGCGUAGCAAUAUGCCUUAAACUCAAAGGAUGUACUGUCUGUCGUGGUAGAAGUCAUAGCACUCAAACCCUCAACACACUGAGGACAUUUACAGCAGCACCGACUUAAUAAGAUCUCUCAAAAAGUCAUUUUUAAGUUGUCAAGAACAUAUUUCCAUUCCUGUUUCAUAUAAAACCUUUUUUCAGCAUGUCGAGUUUAUAUUUGACACAUCGACACCCGUCAACCUCAAACGCUGAGGAGUCCCGACUUUCUCUGCUUUAAUGUGAUUCAUUCCGGCGCUGAGAGGACGACACAUCUACAUCUCAGAUAGAGUCCACGCGGUCGGCCCCCUGAAGACGGCUUCACAACUAGGAAGAGACGUCAGCACCACUCCCCAAAAAAAGGACCAGGACUGAGAGGAAGGGGGGAGGUGAAAAUUGGAGCGAGGUGUGAGAGCCGGGUGCUGAAUCUGAUCAAAUCUGUAAAGAAGUGCAAGACUACAGAGCUCACAUUCAAUCACAUGUUGUACAUAAAAGACGUCCUUUAUAUUAAACGCCGCAGUAUCCUGGACGGAUAAAUGAUUCUGUGGUUGUGUAGAUUAUAAAUAAUGUACAAG